CCAGGUAAAUCCGGUUCACUUUAACACUGAGGCGUGACGACGAGGCACUACGGUGCUGAAGCAACAAAUGCCCUGCUUCCAGGAAAAGCCUCUAAGCAUCAGGUAACAUCAAAUCGUACCCCAAACCGACACAGGUGGUCAGGUAGAGAAUACCAAGGCGCUUGAGAGAACUCGGGUGAAGGAACUAGGCAAAAUGGUGCCGUAACUUCGGGAGAAGGCACGCUGACACGUAGGUGAAGUGAUUUACUCAUGGAGCUGAAGUCAGUCGAAGAUACCAGCUGGCUGCAACUGUUUAUUAAAAACACAGCACUGUGCAAACACGAAAGUGGACGUAUACGGUGUGACGCCUGCCCGGUGCCGGAAGGUUAAUUGAUGGGGUCAGCGCAAGCGAAGCUCCUGAUCGAAGCCCCGGUAAACGGCGGCCGUAACUAUAACGGUCCUAAGGUAGCGAAAUUCCUUGUCGGGUAAGUUCCGACCUGCACGAAUGGCGUAAUGAUGGCCAGGCUGUCUCCACCCGAGACUCAGUGAAAUUGAACUCGCUGUGAAGAUGCAGUGUACCCGCGGCAAGACGGAAAGACCCCGUGAACCUUUACUAUAGCUUGACACUGAACAUUGAGCCUUGAUGUGUAGGAUAGGUGGGAGGCUUUGAAGUGUGGACGCCAGUCUGCAUGGAGCCGACCUUGAAAUACCACCCUUUAAUGUUUGAUGUUCUAACGUGGACCCGUAAUCCGGGUUGCGGACAGUGUCUGGUGGGUAGUUUGACUGGGGCGGUCUCCUCCUAAAGAGUAACGGAGGAGCACGAAGGUUGGCUAAUCCUGGUCGGACAUCAGGAGGUUAGUGCAAUGGCAUAAGCCAGCUUGACUGCGAGCGUGACGGCGCGAGCAGGUGCGAAAGCAGGUCAUAGUGAUCCGGUGGUUCUGAAUGGAAGGGCCAUCGCUCAACGGAUAAAAGGUACUCCGGGGAUAACAGGCUGAUACCGCCCAAGAGUUCAUAUCGACGGCGGUGUUUGGCACCUCGAUGUCGGCUCAUCACAUCCUGGGGCUGAAGUAGGUCCCAAGGGUAUGGCUGUUCGCCAUUUAAAGUGGUACGCGAGCUGGGUUUAGAACGUCGUGAGACAGUUCGGUCCCUAUCUGCCGUGGGCGCUGGAGAACUGAGGGGGGCUGCUCCUAGUACGAGAGGACCGGAGUGGACGCAUCACUGGUGUUCGGGUUGUCAUGCCAAUGGCACUGCCCGGUAGCUAAAUGCGGAAGAGAUAAGUGCUGAAAGCAUCUAAGCACGAAACUUGCCCCGA
rnacentral:rRNA from 2 species